UGGGGAAUAUUGCACAAUGGGCGCAAGCCUGAUGCAGCCAUGCCGCGUGUGUGAAGAAGGCCUUCGGGUUGUAAAGCACUUUCAGCGAGGAGGAAGGGUUCAGUGUUAAUAGCACUGUGCAUUGACGUUACUCGCAGAAGAAGCACCGGCUAACUCCGUGCCAGCAGCCGCGGUAAUACGGAGGGUGCAAGCGUUAAUCGGAAUUACUGGGCGUAAAGCGCACGCAGGCGGUUUGUUAAGUCAGAUGUGAAAUCCCCGCGCUUAACGUGGAACUGCAUU
rnacentral:rRNA from 1 species